UGAGUACGGAAGUUUAAUGGUUGCUUACUCAAUGUUUGCGAUUACGAAUAAUGAAAACAAAGACGUUAUGAGGCAUAAAUACUGUGACUUAAACCGUGUUAAAUUUACAUCAGAGUACGCGGGAAGUUAAAGCUAUAGUAAAAAAUGAGAAUUUUUCAAUAACCCAGGUAGCACAGUUUUUAGGCUGUUUUUAACAUACCGAUAAGGCACCAACAUGUUGACAAAACAAUCAGAAAUUUGUCACCGAAAAAAUAUCUACUUAAAAAAUUUGACACAAGUGAAGACAAGAAGUAAAUUAUAAAUAAUGGGUCAAUAUUUCCACGUCUUAUUUAUACCAAAAAAGGUGACGCUGAGACAAAAAAAAAUUUGUGUUGUCCUUUUAAAAGACACCUUUAAAACAUCUUAAAAAUGUCUGUGUGUUACUUGGGAACAAUUUAAAUUAUUACACGGAAAAAAAAAUAUUAGUAAAUAUUACUGAGAUUCUCGUCAACAGCGCGCCUAGACCGAAUCUCAGCAAAUGUUAUGGAGUAGAACGUAAGAAAUUAAUAACAGAUGCAUUUUUUUGACAAGUGUCUUGUAGUUUUUUAAGGUUUAAGUAGUAAUUUUAAAUAGUCAAGCAGUAUAUUUCAACGAUUAACUGUUAAUUAUAGCAGUUUAAAUAUUAAAAUCAUAAUUUUACUGAUUGAAACGACAUUAGUUAUUGAACAUAACACAAAUAAUUAGAAGUUGAACUACAAUUAUUGUCAAUCAUUUUUUUCCGUGUAUUAUUCAAUAUGAAUACGAAAAUCGUUAGUAAUAGUUCGAUUUGUUAAUACGUUAUUCUAAUAAGGUACAAUGAACUUGACAAAAUAUUCCUGUUAUCUUAACCUAUUUUAAAAAUUUAAUGCGAUAAUCAAUAGAGUUUAUUGAUUCAAUUUCAAACAUAUUAACAUUACUGUUUAAAGUACCAUUGUAGGUGAUAAUUUUUAUAGUAGAUACACAGUGAAAAAUAUUGUAUAUUUGUGUUAGAUACAGUCCGUGUUAAACUGUUUAUGUCAAUUAUUUUGUGUUAAACCAUCAUAUUGCACUGUGUAACUUGAAAAUUUUGAAUUGAUCUAAUACUUCAGGCUUUGAAAAUAUUACUUAAUCCAAAAAUCAAAGUUAUAUGAUUGAAUUUUGUGUUAUAUUAUUAUUAUAUCUUUGAAAGUAUUUGACGGAUGGUUAUGAAAUUUUAUAUACUCAUUCUUUAGGCAAUUAUCUUAAUCAAAUUAAAAAACUGAAAAAAUUGGUUUACUCGAGAAAUGAUGAUGGCAAUUUGAAAUUUUCUUAUAAUGAAAAUUGCAUUUUCCAGGGUAGUUUUCUGUAAUAACUUCUGAACGAAAACUUCCCUAAUUAUUAUGUGAGCAAAACGUAAACACUUACUUAUUAUGUACAUGAUAAGCUAUAUUUUCCGAUUUUUAUUUUGAUUUUUCAAGAUACUUUUUUGAGCAAGUCAAGAAGAAUAGAGCGAUAUAUUUAUUAUAGCUAUAUAUAUACUGUGAUUUCAAGAUCUUAACUAAGAUAGCUAUUAGGCUAUAAAAAUUAAAGCUAUACUAAAAGUUAUAAAAAUUUGUAAGUAAUACUUGAUAUCUAUUUAUUAUUUAUUAUUAAAAAAUAAUAUUUAUAGAUUUCCUAUCUUAAUCGAAACAUAUAUGUAGAAUUAUUGUUGUCGAAAAUAAUUACUAAGCUCCAAUCGUAAUUUCUUUUUUUUUUUCAUUUUCAGUUCAAUAACAAUUAAAAAUAAGAUGACGAAAAUC